GAAUGCUGGUAGGUUGUGCGACAUCUGUCACUCCACUGAUCACCAGGGUGGGUUUGGCUGAACCGACUGGCUUGGCAAGUGUCCCCUUCCUCCCUUACAAUUAGCUUCAUGUGCAUCUCUUUUGAAGCAGCACUCUGGGUUGAAGAUUCUGACCUUCCCAAACACAGGAGGACUGGUCUUGGUCAGAUGUAUACAAGUAGCUUCCCUCCCCUGUUAGAACCACCAUACAAGCUUUCAAGGUCCAUUUGUAGGAGAAAGUAGGAUAGUCAAGCUUUUAACACUCCAGACACAUCCCAAUGAAGCCCUGCAGAUGGAAAGUCUGCCUUUCUAA
rnacentral:snRNA from 1 species